GACGAACGCUGGCGGCGUGCUUAACACAUGCAAGUCGAACGGAAAGGCCCUGCUUGCAGGGUACUCGAGUGGCGAACGGGUGAGUAACACGUGGGUGAUCUGCCCUGCACUUCGGGAUAAGCCUGGGAAACUGGGUCUAAUACCGGAUAGGAGCCAUUUUUAGUGUAAUGGUUGGAAAGUCUUUUCGGUGUAGGAUUAGCUCGCGGCCUAUCAGCUUGUUGGUGGGGUAAUGGCCUACCAAGGCGGCGACGGGUAGCCGGCCUGAGAGGGUGGACGGGCACAGUGGGACUGAGAUACGGACCCGACUCCUACGGGAGGCAGAGGUGGCGAAGAUUGCACAAUGGGAGCGGGCCUGAUGCAGCGACGGCGCGUGGGGGAUGACGACGUUCGGGUUAUAAACUCCUUUCGCUAGGAACGAAGCUGUUUGUGACGGUACCUAGAUAAGAAGCACCGGCUAACUACGUG
rnacentral:rRNA from 1 species